AUGUUUGUGAUGAAAACUGCAGAAAUGAGCAGUGCAAUGUGCCUGAUGAGAGAGUGGAUUUGUCACACCUGCCACAAUCAUCUUAAAAAUGGAUCCAUGCCAGCACUUGCUGUUGCCAAUAAACUGGAUCUUGCUGAUAUUCCACCUGAACUGUCUGAUCUCAACAUACUGGAGAGACACCUCAUAGCCAAGUGCAUACCAUUUGCCAAGAUUAUUCCUCUUCCCAAAGGCAGACAGAGAGCAAUUAGAGGAAAUGUGGUCUGUGUCCCAUCAGAGGUACAGGAAACUGUUGAAGCAUUGCCUCGAUUGAGAAUUAAUUCUCAGGUGAUGAGAGUAAAACUGAAGAGACGCUUGUCUUACAAAGGUCAUCAGCUGUUUCAGACUGUAAGCUGGUCUAAACUUGUGCAAGCACUGCAUAAACUCAAGCAGAUUCAUCCACAGUAUAAGGAUGUGAGCAUCAGAGAUGAUGCUGAGCUGUGUGAUCCAACACUUCCUGAUGAAGAUGAGGAGGAUGAUGAUGAUGAAAACAUGAAUGAGGACGAUUAUGAUGAGGCUGAUUUAAUGGAAAUUGACAGCUGUGAGAAAAAUGCACUAUGUGAAGCACAAAAUAAAAAUGAACAGGAUAUUGACACGUUACCCUGUGAUGGUGAACAAUCACAUGAGCAGAUGAGAGAUGAUUCAGAGCAAGCAGAUGGACUGACUAAUGGUGGUUUUGCACUCGAGUCCUGUUUGCAGCCCCCUGAUGUGGCUGAGGAGAUAUUAUGUUUCAGUGAAGGAAUCUACUCUGUUGCUCCUGCAGAGAGAAACAAUCCAAUAAGUUUUUUCAAAACACCUAAACUGGAGGCCAUGGCCUUCCCUGUGCAGUUUCCUACAGGCCAAAACACACUUGAUGAAAGAAGGCUGAUCAAAGUAUCCCCCAGUGGGUAUUUCAAAUCAAGACUUUUCUGCAUUGAUGAUUGUUUUGCCAAAGACACAAACUAUUUGUUCUUUGCACAGUUUGUGACUGAAAUACACUUGGCUACUUCCAGCAUGACGAUACAGUUAAGAAAGGCAAAGCCUCUGACCAGAGAUGGGAGAAAAAUAACCUCAGGCAUGUUACAAGAUAAACAUGAGGUGGAGAAACUGGUGCGAAAUAAAGAUGCAGUGAGAUUCAUGCAGCCUCUGAGAGGAACCCCAGCCUAUUGGGAGAAAACCACAAGAGAUCUUUUUGCCAUGAUCAGACAGUUGGGAACUCCCACGUUCUUUUGCACAUUUUCAGCUGCUGAAAUGCGCUGGCCUGAAGUGAUUGAGGCAAUAACAAGGCAGCAAGGUGAA
rnacentral:lncRNA from 1 species